rnacentral:rRNA from 1 species
UACGAAGGGGCUAGCGUUGCUCGGAAUCACUGGGCGUAAAGGUGCGUAGGCGGGUUUUAAGUCAGAGGUGAAAUCCUGGAGCUCAACUCCAGAACUGCCUUUGAUACUGAAGUCUGAGUAUGGAGAGGUGAGUGGAACUGCGAGUGUAGAGGUGAAAUUCGUAGAUAUUCGCAAGAACACCAGUGGCGAAGGCGGCUCACUGGCCCAUAACUGACGCUGAGGCACGGAAAGCGAUGGG